GCCACGGUGGUCUAGCGGUUAGAACGCUGGCCUUGUAAUCCUGGGGUCUCGGGUUCGAUUCCCGGUGGUGCUC
rfam:Zootermopsis nevadensis contig9888, whole genome shotgun sequence.